CAGUCGCCGCGGUAACACGAAGGGGGCUAGCGUUGUUCGGAUUUACUGGGCGUAAAGCGCACGUAGGCGGAUUCUUAAGUCAGAGGUGAAAUCCCAAGGCUCAACCUUGGAAAUGCCUUUGAUACUGGGGAUCUUGAGUCCGGGAGAGGUGAGUGGAACUGCGAGUGUAGAGGUGAAAUUCGUAGAUAUUCGCAAGAACACCAGUGGCGAAGGCGGCUCACUGGCCCGGUACUGACGCUGAGGUGCGAAAGCGUGGGGAGCAAACAGGAUUAGAUACCCGAGUAGUCCCUGUCUCUUAUAC
rnacentral:rRNA from 1 species